UAAAUAUCGGGAAAUUGAGGAUGUCUUUUGAGCUUAAGGGAGCGUUUGGUACGCAGAUACGUCUGGAACUUGGGAUAGCCAUGUUUGGUAGCACAAAAAUAGGAAUUUUCACGGCGAAGAAGUUGUCCCGUCUUUUGGUUUCUAUGUGUGAUUUCAUCCACGACAACCAAAACAAGUUGUCCAUUUCAAAGACGUCUUUCAUCGUUGCCCGGGGAAGUGAAAUCUGAAGCUCGAACAACAUUACGAAAAGGCCCUUGAGGGAUUGUACGAUUUGUGAAGUGAUGGAAACAGUGGAUUGGACUACUUGCUUGUUGAGUGAUAUACGUGUGAAAAAUGGCGCGAAUGAGUUGUGGGUCUGUCAUUUCUCCCUCCAUUUUCUGAGGUCGCAACUGAGGAGAAGAACCUUGUAGCUUGCAUGUGACUUUCGAAAUCGGAGUGGUGGAAGGUGUUGAAGGAAGAAGUUUUUUUGCUUUCUCCACAAUCGACUGGCAAGUAAGAUAAAUAAAGACAGAGACAUACAGAUAGUUGGAGGGAUUUUUUUGCAAGCAAAAAGGAGGACAUUGUUGUUAGCACUUUGGCCUUUUGUAUAUGAUACUUCAUACUGUAAGGAAAAGGUCAUGUAUGGUAAGUCCUACAUAGUAUUUCACAUGUUGUGUUAUCAUUGAAAUUUCACUUCUGUUCAAAGAAUGCUGUGAGCUCCUACAUACUAUAGGUAUUGACUUUGCCAUGGAAGGUAAACUCUGUACUAUUAUUCAAAUAAAGAUGUCGAUAGUUGUUAUGAAAAAUGAAUUUCUGUAUGGGCACCUGUAUCAGAUCUUGCUUAUUAUUAAUUUUGCUUCUCACCAGAAUCACAAUUGCUAUUUUGCUUAUUUUAUUUGCAUACUAAUUGCUGUUUUGCUGCUUCUCACAUGUAGAUGUCAAUACUCGUGGGAUGGGCAUUGUUUGCGAUCCAUCUCCAUCAAGCUUUGUUGGUUACUAGGACGUAAGAUGGAAACAAACAAAGCAAUGUCUUCUUCAAGGAUAGAUCAACCUUCCAACUAUCCAAUGUAUAAUAUGUGAAUCUGUGUUUCAAUCUGUCAUGUAAAAAAUGGGACAUGUGUAAUAUAUUUGGUCCAAGAUAAGCGUACUUGUACUUAGGAUUUUAAGUUUGUCAAUUCUGUAUGUACCAAGGCUAUAGAUGCCAAUGGGUUAUCUGUAUGUUGGUGUAUCUAAACCUGUACUGUAACAUAUAUAUGGUACAUGAAUGAUAUUUAAAUC